UGGCUCAAUGGUAGAGCGUUCGACUCAAAUACCAAAGGUCGCGGGUUUAAAUCCCAC
rnacentral:tRNA from 1 species